AGAGUUUGAUCCUGGCUCAGAUUGAACGCUGGCGGCAUGCCUUACACAUGCAAGUCGAACGGUAACAGGUUAAGCUGACGAGUGGCGAACGGGUGAGUAAUAUAUCGGAACGUGCCCAGUCGUGGGGGAUAACGCAGCGAAAGUUGUGCUAAUACCACAUACGACCUACGGGUGAAAGGGGGGGAUCGCAAGACCUCUCGCUAUUGGAGCGGCCGAUGUCAGAUUAGGUAGUUGGUGGGGUAAAGGCUCACCAAGCCGACGAUCUGUAGCUGGUCUGAGAGGACGACCAGCCACACUGGGACUGAGACACGGCCCAGACUCCUACGGGAGGCAGCAGUGGGGAAUUUUGGACAAUGGGCGCAAGCCUGAUCCAGCCAUGCCGCGUGCGGGAAGAAGGCCUUCGGGUUGUAAACCGCUUUUGUCAGGGAAGAAAUCUUUUGAGUUAAUACCUCGAGAGGAUGACGGUACCUGAAGAAUAAGCACCGGCUAACUACGUGCCAGCAGCCGCGGUAAUACGUAGGGUGCGAGCGUUAAUCGGAAUUACUGGGCGUAAAGCGUGCGCAGGCGGUUGUGCAAGACAGGUGUGAAAUCCCCGGGCUUAACCUGGGAACUGCACUUGUGACUGCACGGCUGGAGUGCGGCAGAGGGGGAUGGAAUUCCGCGUGUAGCAGUGAAAUGCGUAGAUAUGCGGAGGAACACCGAUGGCGAAGGCAAUCCCCUGGGCCUGCACUGACGCUCAUGCACGAAAGCGUGGGGAGCAAACAGGAUUAGAUACCCCGGUAGU
rnacentral:rRNA from 1 species